GAUGAAGAACGUAGCGAAAUGCGAUAAGUAAUGUGAAUUGCAGAGUUCAGUGAAUCAUCGAAUCUUUGAACGCACAUUGCGCCCGCUGGUAUUCCGGCGGGCAUGCCUGUUCGAGCGUCAUUUCAACCCUCAAGCCCCCGGGUUUGGUGUUGGGGAUCGGCUCUGCCCUUCUGGGCGGUGCCGCCCCCGAAAUACAUUGGCGGUCUCGCUGCAGCCUCCAUUGCGUAGUAGCUAACACCUCGCAACUGGAACGCGGCGCGGCCAUGCCGUAAAACCCCAACUUCUGAAUGUUGACCUCGGAUCAGGUAGGAAUACCCGCUGAACUUAAGCAUAUCAAUAAGCGGAGGA
rnacentral:misc_RNA from 1 species